rnacentral:rRNA from 1 species
AGGGGUAUAGUUCUUCGGAAUUAGAGACCGGCGCACGGGUGCGUAACGCGUAUGCAAUCUACCUUUCACAGAGGGAUAGCCCAGAGAAAUUUGGAUUAAUACCUCAUAGUAUAUAGCCCUGGCAUCAGGAUUAUAUUAAAGUCACAACGGUGAAAGAUGAGCAUGCGUCCCAUUAGCUAGUUGGUAAGGUAACGGCUUACCAAGGCUACGAUGGGUAGGGGUCCUGAGAGGGAGAUCCCCCACACUGGUACUGAGACACGGACCAGACUCCUACGGGAGGCAGCAGUGAGGAAUAUUGGACAAUGGGCGCAAGCCUGAUCCAGCCAUGCCGCGUGCAGGAUGACGGUCCUAUGGAUUGUAAACUGCUUUUGCACAGGAAGAAACAACGCUACGUGUAGCGUCUUGACGGUACUGUGAGAAUAAGGAUCGGCUAACUCCGUGCCAGCAGCCGCGGUAAUACGGAGGAUCCAAGCGUUAUCCGGAAUCAUUGGGUUUAAAGGGUCCGUAGGCGGUUUAGUAAGUCAGUGGUGAAAGCCCAUCGUCAACGGUGGGAACGGCAUUGAUACUGUAGACUUGAAUUAUUAGGAAGUACCUAGAAUAUGUAGUGUAGCGGUGAAAUGGUU